rnacentral:misc_RNA from 1 species
AGCUGGACACCACCUCCAUAGGGUCUCCAUCUCUGAUGGCAUCGAGGCGAGCAUGGGUGAAUGGUCUUCUGACGGUGUCGAGAUGAGGAUGUGUUUGGGUCUCUGUUUGAUGGGUUGAGGUGAGCAUCGGUGGUGUGAUGCACUAAUCAAAGAGAACAAUGUGAUGAAGCCAUGAAGGCCAAAAAUAGAAAUUACAUGCAGCUUUAACCUUUACAUAUAGAAAGAUCAAAGAAUGCG